rnacentral:sRNA from 1 species
UCCUAGCCCUGAUAGAAGCGGAAAUCCUUUUAUGCCGUGGUUCGGCAUAAAAGAUUGGAGUGAAUAGCAGGAUUAAGC